AGGACGAACGCUGGCGGCGUGCCUAACACAUGCAAGUCGAACGAGGUCCAACCGGUGGCAACACUGGUGAAGACCUAGUGGCGAACGGGUGAGUAUCACGUGAGCAACCUGCCCCGAAGACUGGGAUAACACCGGGAAACCGGUGCUAAUACCGGAUACCCCCACCGGAUCGCAUGGUCUGGUGAGGAAAUGAAUUUUGCUUUGGGAGGGACUCGCGGCCUAUCAGCUUGUUGGUGGUGUAACGGACCACCAAGGCUUCGACGGGUAGCUGGUCUGAGAGGACGAUCAGCCACACUGGGACUGAGACACGGCCCAGACUCCUACGGGAGGCAGCAGUGGGGAAUCUUGCGCAAUGGGCGAAAGCCUGACGCAGCAACGCCGCGUGAGGGACGAAGGCCUUCUGGGUUGUAAACCUCUUUCAGCAGGGACGAUGAUGACGGUACCUGCAGAGAGCCCGGCAACUACGUGCCAGCAGCCGC
rnacentral:rRNA from 1 species